rnacentral:rRNA from 1 species
UUUACCUACGGGACGCAGCAGUGGGGAAUAUUGGACAAUGGGGGGAACCCUGAUCCAGCGACGCCGCGUGAGUGAAGGAGUAUUUCGGUAUGUAAAGCUCUAUCAGCAGGGAAGAAAGAAAUGACGGUACCUGACUAAGAAGCCCCGGCUAACUACGUGCCAGCAGCCGCGGUGAUACGUAGGGGGCAAGCGUUAUCCGGAUUUACUGGGUGUAAAGGGAGCGUAGACGGUUACGCAAGUCUGGAGUGAAAGGCGGGGGCCCAACCCCCGGACUGCUUUGGGGGCUGCAUAACUGG